CGGGGUGAGUAACGCGUGAAUAACCUGCCUCACACUGGGGGAUAACAGUUAGAAAUGACUGCUAAUACCGCAUAAGCGCACAGUACCGCAUGGUACAGUGUGAAAAACUCCGGUGGUGUGAGAUGGAUCCGCGUCUGAUUAGCCAGUUGGCGGGGUAACGGCCCACCAAAGCGACGAUCAGUAGCCGACCUGAGAGGGUGACCGGCCACAUUGGGACUGAGACACGGCCCAA
rnacentral:rRNA from 1 species